rnacentral:piRNA from 7 species
CGUACGUAGCAGAGCAGCUCCCUCGC